UACGAAGGGGGCUAGCGUUGCUCGGAAUUACUGGGCGUAAAGCGCACGUAGGCGGCUUCUUAAGUCGGUGGUGAAAUCCUGGAGCUCAACUCCAGAACUGCCUUUGAUACUGAGGAUCUUGAGUUCGGGAGAGGUGAGUGGAACUGCGAGUGUAGAGGUGAAAUUCGUAGAUAUUCGCAAGAACACCAGUGGCGAAGGCGGCUCACUGGCCCGGUACUGACGCUGAGGUGCGAAAGCGUGGGGAGCAAACGGG
rnacentral:rRNA from 1 species